AGAUUGAACGCUGGCGGCAUGCCUUACACAUGCAAGUCGAACGCGAAAGCGGGGCAACCCGCAAGUAGAGUGGCGAACGGGUGAGUAAUACAUCGGAACAUUUCCAGUAGCGGGGGAUAACCUGUCGAAAGAUAGGCUAAUACCGCAUACGACCCAAGGGUGAAAGCGGAGGACCGCAAGGCUUCGCACUAUUGGAGUGGCCGAUGUCGGAUUAGCUAGUUGGCGGGGUAACAGCCCACCAAGGCUACGAUCCGUAGCUGGUCUGAGAGGACGAUCAGCCACACUGGAACUGAGACACGGUCCAGACUCCUACGGGNGGCAGCAGUGGGGGAAUUUGGACAAGUGGCGAAAGCCUGAUCCAGCAAUGCCGCGUGAGUGA
rnacentral:rRNA from 1 species